rnacentral:rRNA from 1 species
CAGUCGCCGCGGUAAUACAGAGGGUGCGAGCGUUAAUCGGAUUUACUGGGCGUAAAGCGUGCGUAGGCGGCUUCUUAAGUCGGAUGUGAAAUCCCCGAGCUUAACUUAGGAAUUGCAUUCGAUACUGGGAAGCUAGAGUAUGGGAGAGGAUGGUAGAAUUCCAGGUGUAGCGGUGAAAUGCGUAGAGAUCUGGAGGAAUACCGAUGGCGAAGGCAGCCAUCUGGCCUAAUACUGACGCUGAGGUACGAAAGCAUGGGGAGCAAACAGGAUUAGAUACCCGGGUAGUCCCUGUCUCUUAUAC